rnacentral:hammerhead_ribozyme from 1 species
AUUGGACGAGUCCCAAAUAGGACGAAAUGCGCAUCCUGGAU